ACCCCCUUCCCCUCCCCGCGCCUCCCGGCCCCCUCCCAGCCUCCCCCUCUGGCCCUCCCCCGUCACCCUCCUCCUGCCCUCCGUCCCCACCCCCUCCCUUUCUCAUCCCCCUUCUGCGGUGGGAAGGUUUGGUGUCAAAUUAAAACCAUUGCAGGGGGAGGGGAAGGAGAGGAUGUCUUCUAUAAAAAAAGACCUAAAAUGGUUGACAGCUCCUUAAUUCGCUUUAUCCCAAGUGCAAAGUGAUCUCUCCUGAUGCCUGCCCUGAAAGUGUGGGUCGGGGAGGGGGGCGAGGUUACCGCUCGACAAAGUUUGACGACAAACUCUUCCUCCGCGUACUUUAAAAGGUGGAUUUGGCCCUAGAUCAUCCUCUGAAGAAACCUGAUCCUCUGGGCAAAAGCUUCCUUUCCCUACACCAUCAUAUAAAAUUUUGUCAAAUAAAUUUCAAGUGCAAAAAUGGGGUCUUCUUUUUUAAAGACCUGGCUCCGAGUAUUCUCCCUUACUGGUUUUCAUGUAUUCAUAAAACUCUUGAUGUAUUCCAACAGAGAAGUUCCCAGACACAAGUAAAUUUUACCUACUGAGUGAGGUAAUUUGGGGGUACUUUUUGGGUGAUAACUGAACUAAUCAUGUUAACAGAAUUCUAAGUAGUCACCCAUUGUCCAGCUUGACACACCUUUAUUUAUGCAUUUAUUUGAGACAGGGUCUCACUCUGUUUCUCAGACUGACGUGCAGUGGGCUAUCACUGCUCACUGCAGCCUUGACCUCCCAGGCUUAAGCUAACCUCCCACCUCAGCCUCCAAAGUAGCUGGGACUACAGGCAGGUGCCAUCAUGCCUCGAUAAUUUUUAAGUUUUUUUUUUUUUUGUAGAGGUGGAGUCUCCCUAUGUUGCCCAGGCUAGUCUUGAACUCUUGGCCUCAAGUGAUCCUCCUGCCUCACCCCACAAAGUGCUGAGAUUACAGGCAUGAGCCACCAUGCCCAGCCCACACUUUUUAAAAAAUAACAAAUUUAUUGAGAUAAUUUACAUGCCAUAUAAUUUAUCUAUUUGAAAUUACAUUUUUAAAAGCACUGAAAAGUUCUCUUCACUCUAGUUUAUAGAAUCCUUGGGCAGGACUCUCCCCUAUGUCUUAAAUGAACCCUAUUUUACCUAGGCUUGGCCGGGUCGUUUCCUUUAUCUUUAUUUUAGCUUGUAGAAGAGGAGGGUCCUUUCCAUAGGGAAAACUCUGGCAGACCUUUCGAUUCUGGGUAUUUCUUUCCUUUUCUAGGCUUGUGUUGCCCAUCUCCAUCAGUACUUCCUGGGUUCCAGCCUUCUUUGUCCCUUGCUCCUCCUCCUUCCCCCCAUACUCCCUCUAGCACAGUUCUUCCUGUUUCCUUUUUAUCUGCUCCUGUUCCUGUUCUUAGCCUAUCAGCAGACUUUUCCACAACUCCUCCAGUUUGGCUCAGAUACACCUAGCUUUUCCUAUUUGUUCCUCGAACAUACAGUUUUGGUUUAAAGCCUUUUUAGCUGUUUACCUUCCAUUAUGAGUAUACAGCUAUGUUAACAGAAAGUUUCUCCUGUUUGCUUCAGAUAAGGAAGCCCCGUUUGGGAUUCUUAGUAUACCUUAACUUGUUUAAGCUAAUUAAAUUUUGUUCUAGGAAGUCCUUCAAUAAUUUUCCCAAGUUUAAAACUAGUGUCAUGUUUAUAUUUUUUCUUAUCUAUCUUUGUCUCUCUUUAGCAGUCAACACCUGAGGGGAGGUACAGUAUUCUGAGGCUAAUGCCAUGUAUCCUCAAUGUUGUAAUGUGGUGGGAUGCCAGACUCUGGGAUGAUAAUGAGAUUACUUUUAUGCAUUUUGUUGUUCUUGUGUCUUGUCUGGAUUGGAAAGCCCUUAGAGUGUUGUGAUUAAAAUGAUAGAUUGUUCAUAGUUUGUUCAUUGUUUUCAUUUCGUAAUUGUUUGGGCAGGCUCAUAUUUCUUGUAACUGACACAUACCAUUUGACAGAAUUAACUUAGACCCAGGGCAGAAAUAAUAUUUGCAUGAUUCCUGUGGCUGUGUAAAGUACUAUUAGUUAAUGAUACAUCACUUUUCUGUUCCAACAGCUAUCCCCUUUUCCAGGGCACAGUGAGGCCAGCAGAUAUUGAGUAAACCAGAGAAAAUCAGGAAGGAGAAAGGUGCUGUGCUUGGAAGUGAAAUUAUGACAGCAACAAGUGGAGAAAUGGUUACUUGCACAUGAAGAUAUUUUAACCUAAAAAGUACUUUAUUUUUCUUGUUGAUGAUCAGAAAAGGGCAUCGAUAUGAUACCAUUUUAGGCAAUGUGGUAUAGCGGAUAUGUGGCUAACGUCAUUUCUGUGUCAUUUGUUUAAUAUGUAACGUUAGUCAAGUUACUAUGCCUCUGUGUUUUCUGAGGUAUACAGUUGGAAUAUCGGCACCUACCUGAAGCACUUGUUGUGAGAACUAUGUUAGUCAAAGCUUAGGUUGGGUGCUGAACAGAGUGCCAGGCCUCUCAGAGAAAAUACCGAGUUUGUUUUCUUUCUCUUUUGUACUCAUAACACAUGGUGUCAUUAAUAGCAGACAUUUGUUCUUAUAGUAUUGGUAAUAGACCAGUGCAGAUUGGCAGACAGGAUAGUUUUGUGACUUUUUCACGUGGAAUGUGGAAGCACAAUGUGGUGUAGAAAGUGCUUGGGAUUUGAAGGCAGGUCAUUUGAGUUGGAGAAUCCACCAGUUAAAGUGUAUGAAUUUAGGUUAGUCCCUUCACUACUCAUCUGUAAAAUGAGGGUAACAGUGUGCUCUCACUUGUAGUUAAAUGGGGGUAGUGAAUGGUCAGUGAAAGUAAUAUAUGUGAAAGUGUUUUAUGAACUUGGUUUUCAGUGAACGUUACUUUUUUUUUGUUUUUGAGAUGGAGUCUUGUUCUGUUACCCACGCUGGAGUGUAGUGGUACGAUCUUGGCUCACUGCAACCUCUGCCUCCCGGGUUCAAGCAAUUCUCCUGCCUGAGCUUCUUGAGUAGCUAGGAUACAGGUUCAUGCCACCACGCCCAGCUAAUUUUUGCAUUUUUAGUAGAGACAGGUUUUCGCUGUUUUGGCCAGGCUGGUCUCAAACUCCUGACACCGUGAUUCACCUGCCUUGACCUCCCAAUGUGCUGAGAUUACAGGCGUGACCCACGACACCCAGCUCGUGACAUUACUUUUUAUAAAGACUAGCUUUUUUGUUGUUGUUGUUUUGCAACCCCCUUGCCCCUCCCAAGACUAGCUUAUACUUGAUGAUUGUAGUCUCUUCUUAGAAUAUUUGUGUGUGUUAGUCCUUUGAGGAAUGAGGAACAACACUGUAUGUUGAAGUGUCACUUACAAGAGAUCCUAACAACAUCAAGGAGGUAACAGAACUAUACGUAUUUAGGGGGAUAUCCUGGGUUUACCUUUCAGGUCUUUGAUUGCAUCUAGUACUUUAGAUUGCUUUCAUUGCCUCCUCUUAUGCUUUUCCUUUUCCUUAAAAUGGUGUCUUUUAUAUGUUUAAAGUUUUUUCUUUUUUCUUUUUUCUGGGAAGAAGAUGAAUUAUCUUUAGGGAUUUGACUGGAAGACCAAUCAGAAUGUAUCUCUAUGUGCAUUUGACUUGGAUUGUUAUUCUGCCUUCUUAUAUCUUGUAAAAGGUUUGUGCAAAUCAUCUUAGCAGUAAACAAAACAAAAAGAUUUGGCUCUUUGGAAUGAGAGUGGCUAUAAUAUUAUUUCCCCUGAAUUGAAGUUUAAGGCAUUGGAACUUGGAGAUCUAGCAGAAUAACCCCUAAGUAUGAAGUUUUGAGUUAUAGUGAGAGAUUAUGAUCUUUUUUGGGUUCUUAUGACUAAAUAUAGCAAAACUACCUUCAGAAGUUUUUCAAAUAGCAUGAGCAACUCUGAUGUUUCAAAGUAUUAAUUAUGUAGAAGUUGUAAAUGGAGAGAGGCAUUUAGUUGCUUGGUCAUAAUAUUUAUAAAUGGGGAUAACUAUUUAGUCUAUUUCUAGUUCAGUUGGGUCUCUGACCAUAUUGAUCAUUAUAAGGAUUCAUAGUGUAUAUAUAUACAGAUUUUAGAGUAUGAACUCUGAAGUCAGACUGCCUGGGGUGACUACCAACCCAGGUACUUGCUGCCUGGGUUGCCUUGGACAGGUCACUUACCCACUCUGUUUCCUCACCCAUAUAAUAAGGAUAAUGAUACUCUACAGGGUUGUGGUAAGGAUUGAAUAAAAUAACAUUUGUAAAGUUCUUAGCACAAGGGCCUAACCCAGGCUGUUGUUACUGCUGCUGCAAUUGUUGUUGUUGUUUCCCUUGAAUGUCACAAAAGGCUUUUAGGAGAUUGAUACCUUCAACAUGUAACACAUACUGUACAUGGCACAGUACACCAUGAAAAAUUGAGAAAGAUCUCCAUGAGGUGAACUGUUCAAAAUGCUUUGUGAAUAAGCUUAACCAGUACAGUCAUCAAAGGGUAUUUUUAAGCAUUGUAUAAUAGCCGUGAUUAUACCUCUAUGCUUAAUUUGAACUGAUUAAUUAAUGGUCAUUUCUUGUUUCCCAGUCACUAGUUUAUAUCACAUUUUAUGAAAUCUGUGUUUUGUAAAUAAAUUAGUCUAAAAGCACAUUAUCUGCAGGUAAAGUGUUUGGCUUUAGCCAGUUAAAUAAAGUCUGACUUUAUUAAAGCUGAUCAUUUAAUUAGAAUGAAUUUCUUGGUUCAAUGGUUACUUAUCAGGAGAAAUAUGGCCAGUGGUAGAGCAGGUUUCUGACUUUGAAAAGCUUUUAUGGUGUAGACUUUUUAACAAGGUAAUUGAGGAAUCAAUUUUCAAAUUUUCUUCUGACCUUUCUAUUUACUGAUAAUUCAUUGCUGUGAAGGUAUUAAAUUUUAUUAUUUGGUCUAUUUAUUAGUUCAAUAAAUAGUUUUUGAGUCCAUGCUAUUUGUAAGACAGGAGCUAAUGACAACAGGGAUGAUGAAUUAGAUAUAAAUUAUGUUUUCAAAAAGCUGGCAUUUUAGGAGUGUUCAGUUCUCAUUUGUAACCAUUCAUGACCUUUUAAAAUUUAUUCGCUUUACCUUAUGAUACUUUAAUAGAUGUUUGUUUUUUCUCUGGUUUGCUAUACUUAAUACAGCAAAAAUGCUCUUUCCUGUGAGAUUUGAUGGGAAAGAAAGGCCUAUAGAGAUGGUCCUAAGGAACUUUGCUAUGAUAAAUUAUAACGAUCAUGUUGUAAGGAUAAAGUAAUGUGAAUAUUUGUAGAUACACAUUAUUUAUCCUGCUUGUUCUUCAGUCAGCUAAUUGAUACCUAUCAAUGGUUGGCAAAUUUAGAUUUAUGCCUGGGUUUGUCACUUCUGCUUUAAAAUAACCUAGUGAGAUUUGUCUGAUGAUCAUUAGUCACAUUGGACAUUAUUAUUAACACAUCAAAAAGUUGUCCUUGUGUUCAGUAUUGUUCAAAAGAUCAUUUUUAAUUCGAUUUAUGCCAAUGUAUUUUUGAUUGCUAAGAUUUCCUAAGGAGAGCAGUAGUCCUCAGUUACGUAUUCUGGCCAUCAUAUUGAAAGGAAGUGUCAGCCCAGGUACAAGCAUGUGUUUAUUCACUGAUUAUUGAUGGAUUUGGUUGUAAAGUACAGUUGGAAUAAUUUAGAUCAGGGAAGCUUUAUUGACCAGUAAAACUUGUCACACAAAUGCAUUCUGCCGUCUGGAUUCCAAGUUAAAAGGGAGGUGCAUUUAUUUUCUCAUGCAUUGACCAAGGCAGAGAGGGCAUAAGUUUAUAAGAGCACUUCCAUUGCUAAUAAGGAUGGCACUUAAUUUUAAUUUCUGUUUUCCUUUCAUGGUCUUAAGAAAGAGGAAACUAAUUGCUUUUCUUAUUAUUUUAGUCUGAAUGUAGAUACUCAAGGGUGGAAUGAAGUCUUUUAAAGUUAAAGGAAAUACAAUCCUAAUUCAGAUGAAGAUUAUCUAGGUUAAGAAGGAAUCAAUUCUGUUUUCAAUUUUUGUUGCCUCACAUUAUUAUAAAAAUAUUCUUACUUAUAACUGAAUAUUCAUUUGAAUUGAUUAUUGUGGGAAUAUGAAAUUCCAUCUCUUUUCUACUCAAUUCUCCUUUAAAUUUUUUUAUUUUAUUAUGUUGCUAUAGUAUGGGUAAUUAAAAAAAAUUUUUUUUUUAAUUUUCAGUUAUAAAAAUUAGGUUGCCAUUUGUUGGCUGGGCACAGUGGCUCAUGUCUAUAAUCCCAGCACUUUGGGAGACUGAGGUGGGUGGAUCACCUGAGAUCAGGAGUUCGAGACCAGCCUGACCAACAUGGAGAAACCCUGUCUCUACUAAAAAUACAAAAAUAGCCAGGCAUGGUGGUACAUGCCUGUAAUCCCAGCUACUCAGGAGGCUGAGGCAGGAGAAUCUCUUAAAUCUGGGAGGUAGGGUUGCAGUGAGCCAAGAUCGUACCAUUGCACUCCAGCCUGGGCAACAAGAGUGAAACAACAUCUCAAAAAAAAAAAAAAAAAAAAUAUAUAUAUAUAUAUACAUAAAAAUAUAUAAAAGUAAAAGUUAGUUUACUAUUUGCCAAAGUUUGGGUAUGUAAGAUGAAUUUAGGUAAUCUUUGAAUGAAUAUUUAAAGUUUGGUAGUUAAUUUAUCUUUUGAAACAUAAGAAAAAUUAACAUGAAUAAAAUAUUUUUAAUGGUUUUAUUACUUAAAGUGAGGCUAAAUUUUUAGGUAAAUUAAGGCCAAGUGCGGUAGCUCACACCUGUAAUUCUAGCACUUUGGGAGGCAGAGGCAGGAGGAUCACUUGAGCCCAGGAGUUUGAGAUCAGCCUUGUCAACAUAUCUCUACCAAAAAUUUUAAAACUAGCUGAGUGUGGUGGCAUGCACCUUUAGUCCCAGCCACUCAGGAGGCUGAGGUGGGAGGACUGUGUGAGCCUGGAAGGUCAAAUCGGCAAUGAGUCAUGAUCAUGCCACUGCACUGCAGCCUGGGUAACAGUGUGAGACCCUGUCUCAAAAAAAAAGUUAAUUUAAAGAAAAACAAUAAAGGUGUUAUGUGGAUAUGACAAAAAUCAAAAGAUGAUCAAGAUUGAAGCUUGCAAAAUAUUGCAUUAGAUAACCCUUUAUAUCUUCUCUUUUCCUCAUGGAAUUGGAGAAAUGGAAGGAUUUUCAUUUUAUAGGAAAGGUAGCUGAGAUCUAGACAGGUGACUUGCCCAGAGCUGCUUGUGUAGUCUCUGGCUGUCAGGGCUCUAAGUAGGGCUCCUUGCUCCCAGGCAGAUGCUGUUUCUCUCUUUUCCUUUUGUAGGCAGGUCACAUUUUCUGGAACUGUCCUAAAGAAUCGAAAACUGAAUGUUAGCAGUUUCUGGAGCACCUGUACAACUCUGGUUGCUUCUCUUAAAUUAUAAAUUACAUCUCUGCGUUUUGCUGUAACUAAGGUUAACUUGUUUUACUUAAGUAUGUUUAUUUACUAGUUAAAAAUGUUUAUUGAGUACCCAUUGUGUGCCCCUUUAAUCUUAAUAACUAUGAAAAUUAUUAUUUAACUUUUUUCUUUCUCUUAGCUUGUAACAUAUGCCAGGCCUUCUGCUAAGCACUUUACAUGUCUAAUUUGCCACUUGGAAAAUAGCCAGUGUUACCUGUAGUGUAGAAAGGCAGAGAGAUUUGAAGGUUUUGUAUUAGUUGUCAUAAGUGAGUGCUAAAGCAUCAAGAAAGGGCAUUGAUAAGUUACUGCUGAGGGUUCUAUAAUCCAGAGAACAGGCAAUGCGUUAGUGGAAAAGUAGACAUUAUAAUUCAUUAUUUGUGGGUAAAAAGAAGUGAAAUAUGGCCGGUUGGAACACAAUGGUGCUUACAACUAAUUGAUCUCAACCAGUUACAGAUUUCUUUGUUCCUUCUCCAGUACUAUUGCUUCACUUAACUGGUCAUAAAAAAGUGAAGUGAAACAUAAUUCUAGGGGCAAAAAAGAUUUUUAUUACCAUGAUCCAUUACUUUAUAGAAAAUUUGCUUCCAAUAACUGCUUUUCAAGUUUUUGUUCUUUUCAGUUUUAAUACUUCUUGGUCACCACUGCCAUUAUAAUAUAAGCUUCCCAGAACAUAACUCUCAUUGUUUCCCACCCCCUGCUGAUCUGCAGCACUCCCCAGUGCCUACUGAAUUAAGAAGGAAUGCCUCGCCCAACAGUCAACGAGACGUUGCUGUUUGU